CAAGUCGAACGCUGAUCAUGGGGUAGCAAUAUUCCAUGGUCGGAGUGGCGCAAGGGUGCGUAACACGUGGGCAAUUUGCCAUGAAGCCCGGAAUAACCCCGAGAAAUCGGAGCUAAUACCGGAUGUGACUCCUGGGGGGCAACCUCUGGGAUUUAAAGCUGGGGACCGUAAGGCCUGGCACUUCUUGAUAAGCCCGCGGCCUAUCAGCUAGUUGGUGAGGUAACGGCUCACCAAGGCUAAGACGGGUAGCUGGUCUGAGAGGACGACCAGCCACACUGGAACUGAGACACGGUCCAGACACCUACGGGUGGCAGCAGUCGAGAAUUUUUCACAAUGGGCGCAAGCCUGAUGGAGCGACGCCGCGUGGGGGAUGAAUGGCUUCGGCCCGUAAACCCCUGUCAUUUGCGAACAAACCUCGCUAUUUAAAAGAUGGCGAGCUGAUUGUAGCGAAAGAGGAAGGGACGGCUAACUCUGUGCCAGCAGCCGCGGUAAUACAGAGGUCCCAAGCGUUGUUCGGAUUCACUGGGCGUAAAGGGUGCGUAGGUGGUCGGGUCAGUCUGAGGUGAAAUCUCCGAGCUUAACUCGGAAACUGCCUUGGAUACUAUCCGGCUGGAGGGUUGGAGGGGGGACUGGAAUUCUCGGUGUACCAGUGAAAUGCGUAGAUAUCGAGAGGAACACCAGUGGCGAAGGCGAGUCCCUGGACAACUCCUGACACUGAGGCACGAAAGCUAGGGGAGCAAACAGGAUUAGAUACCCUGGUAGUCCUAGCCGUAAACGGUGCACGUUUGCUGUAAGAAGAAUCG
rnacentral:rRNA from 1 species